UUCUUCCUACGGUAUUGUCUAACUGUUCUUCCUACUGCAUUGUCUAACUGUUCUUCCUACGGUAUUGUCAACUGUCUUCCUACUGCAUGUCCUAACUGUUCUUCCUACUGUAGUCUGUUCUUCCUACUCUAUUGUCUGUUCUUCCACUGUAUUGUUCUGUUCCCUACGUAGUGUCUAACUGUUCUUCCUACUGUAUGUCUAACUGUCUUCCUACUGUAGUGUCUAACUGUUCUUCCUACUGUAUUGUCUGUUCUUCCUACUGUAUUGUCUGUUCUUCCUACUGUAUUGUCUGUUCUUCCUACUGUAU
rnacentral:lncRNA from 1 species